UGUUAACAUGAUGAUUACAUAUUGUAAUUCUUGAUAGGAAGAGUAUGAAACAUAAUGAGUACUAUACCAAACUAAGCUGAUACACU